rnacentral:rRNA from 1 species
AUUGAACGCUGGCGGCAGGCCUAACACAUGCAAGUCGAACGAGUGGCGGACGGGUGAGUAAUGUCUGGGAAACUGCCUGAUGGAGGGGGAUAACUACUGGAAACGGUAGCUAAUACCGCAUACCAUCAGAUGUGCCCAGAUGGGAUUAGCUUGUUGGUGGGGUAACGGCUCACCAAGGCGACGAUCCCUAGCUGGUCUGAGAGGAUGACCGGCCACACUGGAAUGGAGACAGGGUCAAGACUCCUAGGGGAGGAAGCAGUGGGGAAUAUUGCAAAAGGGGCGAAAUCCUGAUGCAGCAAUGCGGCGUGUAUGAAGAAGGCCUUCGGGUUGUAAAGUACUUUCAGCGGGGAGGCGUUACCCGCAGAAGAAGCACCGGCUAACUCCGUGCCAGCCGCCGCGGUAAUAC